GAAAUUUAAGGUUGGUUAAGAUACAAUAAAGAUUUGGGUUUGCUGAAGAGAAAGAAUCGGUUAUGACAACAAGAAUGAGGGAAGUCUACGAAUAUACGGGUCACAUAUUCUGAUUUAUGAGGGAGAGUUUUCAUUCAUCAGUAUAAAAUUAACAAAGCCCACCUUCAGCUGAUCACUCACCAUUGAUCUCGCUCAAUCUCUCUCCUUUCACAAUCUGAAGCGCAGCCACACUUCAGCUCAGUUCUUGUUAUUAGCUUUUGAUUUGUUGUUC
rnacentral:misc_RNA from 1 species